rnacentral:lncRNA from 1 species
UUGUAAAACGAGGAUGACUGCUGUGGCCUCCUUCAUACUUUUAUUUUUGGGAAACAUGACACUCACACCUCCACACAUGUAGUUGCCUUUUGUCUGGUGGCGCUGUCAAGAGUCUUUGAGAAUCAAAUGGAGAUAACUAAAUCACCUUAAGGUUUGAAGUGAAGAUCUCAAGAGUGAUUCCGUUACUGGGGUUCCCUCUCUGGGAACUCAUUAACGAAAAAAUGUUUAAAUGUACUCAUUAAAGAUGUUCAAGGGCAAUGUUAUCAGUCUGAGAGAAAAUACCAGAACAGGCAAGUUGUAAACAUCAGCACCAGCGGCGAAGAGGGAGCAGCGCAGAUGGCCGUGAUCAAGUUAAAUGACGUCCAGUUUCACUUUGAUGUUCAUGGCAGCCAGCUCAGCUACAAAGUACCGGAAAACAUACGGCACAGAGACAGUGUCGAUGGAGUCACUGCGGCC